rnacentral:rRNA from 1 species
UACGGAGGGUGCAAGCGUUGUUCGGAAUUACUGGGCGUAAAGGGCGCGUAGGCGGCACUGUAAGUCAGAUGUGAAAGUCCAGGGCUUAACCCUGGAAGUGCAUCUGAUACUGCAGAGCUUGAGUAUCGGAGGGGAAAGUAGAAUUCCCGGUGUAGAGGUGAAAUUCGUAGAUAUCGGGAGGAAUACCGGUGGCGAAGGCGACUUUCUGGACGAAUACUGACGCUGAUGCGCGAAAGCGUGGGGAGCAAACAGG